rnacentral:rRNA from 1 species
AUGCAUCGGGAGACGGCGAGGGAGGAAUUGCGGCUGGUGGGGGAGCAAUUAAGGCGGAGGGAGGAUUUAGAUCGAAAUCAGGUCAGACUGUUCCCCAUUCCACCCUUCCCUUCCUGCUCGCCCCAUCAUCCUCUCUGUUCGCUCGAGCGCGCGGCGGAGAUGGUGGAGAUCAGCGAGGAGAAGAUGCGCAGGUUUGCGGGCAGGGAUGCGCGCUUGCGGAUCCGCCUGAGAGAAAUCGGGGCGUGGUACUUGAGCAAGCGCAAGAUGUACGCGGAGGCGGAGGCAAUCGUGGAGAAUCUGACGGAGGCAGAGGAGAGACCUCUGUUCGGGCGCGGAGGACGCAAGCACCCGCUGCAGGUGCUGCUGUGGGCGGCGGAUCAGGCAGAUUCGUCGGUGAGAGCGGUGGCGAGGAAGUGGGUGGCCUUCACCAUCUUCGCGACCGCAAACCUCGUCCCCGCCAUGAGGGAAUCGGCGCUUCGCCCUAGGAAGGGAGUCCUGGCCCUUCCUGCUCCGGGGACGGCCAUGACUCCGAUCGAGAUUUGCGAGGACCCAGUGGAUCAGGCGCCCGCAGGAGGCGGCGGGGGUGCUGCGUCGCUCUGCUCGCCUCGCCGCGACUACAUCAACCUCGGAGGCUCCGGUGCCUCGUCGUUCAGCACGCCUCGCCGGAAACAGAGUCUGAAUCCCUCACUAGCUGGCAACCGCUUCUGGGUGCUAGCUAGUGAGGAUUCAGACGAUGUUCCUGACGAGGAUUCUGACAGUUCAGACAAAUCCCGCAAGGAGUAA